AAGGUUUUGGCUUAAUUAAAGUAUCUGAGUUGCAAUCAGAAGAUGUGAGAUAAAGUCUUGCAAACCUUA
rnacentral:tRNA from 1 species